CCCUUAGAUGUUCUGGGCCGCACGCGUGCUACACUGAGUGGAUCAGCGGGUCAGGUUGCGCGAAAGUGUUUCCUAAUCUUUAAAUCCGCUCGUGAUGGGGAUUGACGGUUGCAAUUUUCCGUCAUGAACGAGGAAUACCUUGUAAGCGCGGGUCAUCAUCCCGCGCUGAAUACGUCCCUGCCCUUUGUACACACCGCCCGUCGCUCCUACCGAUUGAGUGGUCCGGUGAGGCUUUGGGAUCUGGGCGGAAAGAGCGUUUCGCUGUUUCUGCCCGGAAAACUCAGUCGAACCUUACCAUUUAGAGGAAGGAGAAGUCGUAACA
rnacentral:rRNA from 1 species